AUCAGGAUGUGUUCGCACUGCUUGUUCCCAGUUGUUGCGACAAGUCUGGAACAAGUUGUUAUCACCUUGUUACAAGGUUGAUGACGGUAACAGACUUGCUACAAGUUGUUCCAACAAGAUUAAUACAGGCUGUUCACGUAACAAGUUGCUACGAGCUUGUUGUCAUCAACUUGUUACGUGGAGACGAUAUCAGACUUGUUGGAACAACU